rnacentral:lncRNA from 1 species
CUCUGCCAGGAGGCCACCUCCCACUGGCUUGUAUGGUUCUGGGAAGAUCUCUGUUCUCAAUGGGAUUGAUAGAGGGAAAUUAGCAUCUCAAGGUUCACUGCACUCAAAAAGAGAUUAUACAGCCCGGCCAUGCAGAAGCUGAAGUGUGCCCAGCAUCGAUGGCAUAAGUAGCCAGUGAGGAGCUGAUGCUCCCUGACCCUGCAGAAUCUAGACUGAGACACCAUCUGGUUCCUCUUUUGCACAUCUGGCAAGGUAAUUAACAGAGUGGCCUUGGGAGAAGUAACUGCUGCAGUCCCUGAAGAAUGCCUGCAAACCAAACCUGGCUGCUAAGCCAGAGUCUGUCCACACUGUGCUAUGCUGGCCCAAGACUCUCAAGACUUAUGUCACCAGGCUGGUGCUAACCACGUGCUUAUUAACAUGGCAAUCAGUCAAAGUAAUCAAAUAAGUCACAGCGGUCAUGUACUUGGUAGCAAUGUUUUAAAUUAUGUGAAGCAGAAACCAAGAGACCUGAAACAAGAAACCAAUCACAGUUACAGUUAGAGACCACAUCUAUAAGGACAUAGGCCUGGGAAACAUCCUUUCAUAUUCUUUGUUGGGGGAAUCCAAGAGGCUCCCAAAACAACGUAAGCUAUUGUCCGGUGCCCUUGGCUGCCUCUCAGAACUGGAAACACUACACCGUUCAGACACAGGACUCGGAGGAAUCGAGCAGGAACUGACCUGGAAGCUUCCUCUCUGAGGACUGGCUCUUUUAGUAUCAGAAGGUGCUAUGAACGCUGCCAAGGGAGAAGAGCAUUCAAUAGUCUUACCCAACCAGAAAGCCUAUGGCCAACCUGGCUAAAUAUCCCUAAGGGUGCAACCGUGGCACUUACAUCUUGAGGGCCCCGACAAUGAUUCUGAGGCAAUGUUUUCAUUUAUCUCCAAGCAAAGAGGAGACUUUGGCAUUUGGUGUCUGAAGUGGAAUUUGAACACACUGCUAGCUCAGAAGAGCAGGGUCUUUCAACAAGACCAUGCUUACGACCACAGUGAAAAAUUAAAACGUCUAUUUUCACAAACCCACUCAGGACCCUAGUCACAUACCCAUAAAGAUG